ACAUAGCCCCGAUGGUAGCGGCAUCCUUUUUUGUUUUUUUGGAUUCUUCGACAAACUCAGAAUGACAAAUGUUGUAAAAAAACAAAAAAGAUAUAGCGGACAGCGGGUUGGAAU
rfam:Chryseobacterium bovis DSM 19482 genome assembly, contig: LX71DRAFT_scaffold00042.42